UUUGACCUCAAAUCAAGUAAGGCUAACCGCUGAACUAAAGCA
rnacentral:rRNA from 1 species